GCCACCGUGGUGUAGUGGUUUCACCAUUGGACUAUGACUCUUAGAGAUCAGGGUUCAAAUCCCUGCUCAGCCA